UGCAGAGCUGUGCCAUUUGAAUUUAAGCACACACACACACACACAGCCACGCACUGUGCUCUCCAUUUCUGGCUUGCCUCCCAACACAGAGAGUUGAGCUAGAGCUCGAGUUCACUUUUUUCUUCUCACUCUCCUCCCAGCAGCGACAGCUUCUCCAGGCUCUGCUAGUCGGGACUCUCAAGCAAGCAUGGCGGACACCCCUUUGCAAAUCAUUGAGCAGCCUGCUCCUUCUGAGACCUCCGAGGAGCAAGCGGCCGAGGAGCCGAUUAAAUCAGAUCAGAUCAAUGGAGUGAUGGUGCUCACCCUUCUAGACAAGAUCAUCGGGGCGGUGGAUCAGAUCCAGCUGACCCAGACGCAGCUGGAGGAGAGGCAACAAGAGAUGGAUAGCGCAGUGGCCAGCAUCCAGGGGGAAUUGACCAAGCUCACUAAAGCACACACCACCACCAGCAACACCGUGAACAAGAUGCUGGAGAAAGUACGCAAGGUGAGCGUCAACGUGAAAACCGUCCGGCAAAACCUGGAGAAGCAGGCCGGACAGAUCAAGAAGCUGGAGGUCAACGAGGCGGAGCUGUUGAAGCGAAGGAACUUCAAAGUCAUGAUCUACCAGGAUGAAGUGAAGCUCCCGGCCAAGCUGAGCAUCAGCAAGUCUUUGAAGGAGACAGAGAAGGAAGAGAAGGAAGAGGAGGGCGCAGAGGUGCCUGCGGGCGAGGACCAUGGGGAUGAGGACCGCAUCCAGCUCUCCUCAGAUGAGGAGGUGGAGGUUGAAGAGAUCAUCGAGGAGUCCCGGGCAGAGCGGAUUAAGAGAAGUGGCAUGAAGAGGGUGGACGACUUCAAGAAGGCUUUCUCCAAGGAGAAGAUGGAGAAGACCAAGCUAAAGACCAAGGAGAAUUUGGAGAAGACCAAACACAACUUGGAGAAGACUCGGCACAACCUGGAGAAGAGGAUGAACAAGCUGGGCACCAAGAUCGUAACCACUGAGAGGAGGGAGAAGAUGAAAACCUCUCGGGACAAGCUGAAGAAAUCCUUCACUCCUGAUCACCCCGUCUACGCCAGGUCCAAGACAGCAGUCUACAAGGUGCCACCCUUCACCUUCUACGUCAAGAAGAUCAGAGAGGGCGAGGUGGAGGUGAAAGCCACGGAGAUGGUGGAGGUGGGAGGAGAAGAGGCCGAGAACACGGAGCUGCUGAGAGAGGAGAGCCCUGAGAUGCACACGCUGCUGGAGAUCACGGAGGAGUCGGACGCAGUGCUGGUGGACAAGAGCGACAGUGAGUAGGACGGGCGGUGGCACGCAAUGGACAGCUGAACAUGUAACUUUUCACACUGCAAGAUCUCUCUUUGCCCCACGCGUCCCAGGCAACGUGUACCCGAUGUAUCAUUAUUCCUCUGGAUGUCCAAGCCGAUCCCCCGCCAUCCCGGACAAGGUGUCGUUUAUAUUUUAGUUUUAGCACACAGAGGAGUUAGGAAUACAGAACGGUUUUUCUUACACUCGUUGUGGAGACCAUUCCUGCUAGUGGCCCUGUGAGAGCUUGCUAGCCACCAGGGACCCAGCUGGGACCGUGCUAAAACCAAGAUAACUUCUGUACACCUGGGAUUGAUCCCUCUUUGCAGCUCUCGGAGACCUGAUGCUUAGAAUGCUUUCUGCCUGGCAAACUGUCCAGCGCUGGAGAUCCCCCAGUCCAUUUGUCAGCCCGAGCAGCCAUCCCCACAGGCAGACGGAAGGGAAUGCAGGAGCCCAGCUGGCUAGUAGCAGCAGAGAGACAUUUUCCACCCCUGCCCGUACGCCAGCUCCUGGGGCCAUGUGGUCUGGAAGAUCUCCAGUGGAAGGUGGAUCUCUGACGUGUCUUAGCAUGUGGCGAGGGAAGGGUUAAGCCAAUCCCACUGAUGGGCAGAGCAUGUGUGAGGAUGGGCAACGCCAUGUCGGGCUAGGAGGGGCUCUCUGACACUUCCUGACCCCAGAGGGCUGAAAAAGCUAACGGGCUAGUUCUGGGGAAGCCAGCAUUGUGCACCACUUGGCUACCACGGGCACCACAUUACCUGGGUGGCAGCGAGAUCCCCUGGCAAUGCGGGUAUCCUACACACACACACAGGACCCCGCCACUGCUGCCAGUUACACCACAGCCACUCCAGGCCUUCCUGGGACUGCCCCAGAGUCAUGGAGAGCUUAUCAUAUGCCGCACGCUCCUGUGUGUGUCUGCAGUGCCCGGAGCGGUAACCAUCUGCUUGCUGGAGCCCAGAACCGCUUUGCUGCAGUGGGCUCACGGUCACCUGCAGGGAGCUGCGUGGAGUCAGGUGUCCCACCCCGUCACCGGAGAGUGAGCCCCGUACCAUGUGGCAUCAGCAGGCCAGGAGGUGCACGCUCACUGGCCGGGGGAAGGUGCAGAUGGGGGGUGCUGGAGGGCCCAGCGGGCCAGGAGGUGCACACUCACUGGCCGGGGGAGGGUGCAGGGUGCUGGAAGGCCGCUGUGACUCAUUUCCAGGAGGGCUAGAGGAUGUACUGAUGCCACAGAAAGGAGACAGAGUGAGGAUGGCUCCUGGCCAGCCAGAGAGCAGUCUUGACACGGGUCUGUGGGCCUGAUCCUGAACAGCUGAGUCUCUCCAGGGAGUCCCGGCAUGGCGCAGGCUCAGGGCCCUGCACAUCCCCCCAGGCUCCCCGCUUGCUGCCAUUCUCGCUUUCCUAGCUGGUGUCAGAUGCCCGGCACAGUCUAGGAUGGGGCACUGCCGCUUGAGCGUCAGCUUUCCUAUCCGCAUGCACCGCAGCUGCUUAGCAGGCUCCCAGCAGAACAGAGCGAGGACCGCAAGUGCUGGGACACAGAGUGUCUAUCUCCUGGCCAGCUGAGGUCAGCUUUGGGGCUGGCAAUUCCCAGCCCCAACCCCUUUGCAGCCCCCCAGGUGGCAGGGGACACCGGGAGGUUUGGCUUGUGUUCAUCCUUCCCUUAGUUCAUAUUCACUGGGCACAGCCCAGCCCCUGGCACCUGCGGCCGCCGUCCUGAUUGCCAUGUGACACACGGGAGAAUGGAGGUUUGUUAACGUAGCCACAAUAUAUAAACAUGCUUCUUUGUUAAGAGCAUUUUCUUUCUUAUUGCCAGUCCCACUCCCACCCCCAGGGUCCUUCCCCUGCAGCAGAGCUCCCGGCCUGCCCAGGCCAAGUGGGCACGGCCCCAGCGGCUGGGCUCUGUGCCCGGCUCCCUGGUGGGUUCUCUCUAAGCAGCGAGGAGACGUCUCCAGACCCCUGUGCUGCCCCCAUGGAUGGGCAGGAAGAGAUGGGGUUGGAUAGGCCUUUGCCAUGUUCUGCCCUUCCCUGCCAACCCCACGAUGGCACCACCGCUGUGGGGGGAUGCCAGGCCCCAGGCAGUGGCGGUCCCUGGGGGGGCAGGGGAGUCUUGCUUGCCUUCGGUUGGGAUCUGUGCUCACUGUUCGCCCCGGGAACCCUGCACAGCAGGAGGAGAAACCAGAUGUUCUGCAGCUCCCCAGCCCUGGGCAGGCUGAGCCCUCACUCCUCUGCCUAGGGCCAUUCCCUCAGCAUGUGCAUGGGGACCUAGUGCCUGGCUGCGCCCCACACUCCCGCUGCGCCCCCCGUGCAGCCCAGCCCGUGGCAGGGGAGGUGCUGGCUGGCAGAGGAGCAGGCAGGGCAGGGGGCUGUUCACACUCUGUCUGUUUCCUGGGGCCCAUCUAUUGUUUUUUACAGAUCUAUUUUUCUUACACAGAAGCAGUAGCUCAGAGUAAGCGACUCCCAGGGCAUGGGCGGGCACUUGGCUCGAGCAGCCGAAGGGCACCAGGGUUUGGUGCCGUACUAAGCAUCUCUGACCGGAGAGAGGGGGCAGAGCGCAUCCACGGGGCAGAGAGCGAGUCCUGGGCCCUGCUGUGCCCAAGGUGACGAGCUGGGGGCCAUGGGAGCUGGGUGGAGCUUUAUCCAUUUUCUAUGACUGCAUCCUGGUGAGCAGCCCGACCAAUAAAGUUUCUUUUCUAAAAGGC